rnacentral:rRNA from 1 species
AUCUGCCCUGAGGUCUGACAUAACCCGUCGAAAGGCGGGGCUAACAUCAGAUGAUAUAUAAUCACGACAUCGUGGAAAUAUCAAAUCUUCGGAGCCUUGGGAUGAGCCUGCGUCUGAUUAGGUAGUUGGCGGAGUAAUAGCCCACCAAGCCUACGAUCAGUAGCUGGUCUGAGAGGGAUGAUCAGCCACACUGGAACUGAGACACGGUCCAGACUCCUACGGGAGGCAGCAGUAAGGAAUAUUGCUCAAUGGGGGAAACCCUGAAGCAGCAACGCCGCGUGAAGGAUGAAAUACUUUUGUAUGUAAACUUCUGUAAGAUGGGAAAAUAUUCUCCUCGGGAGAAUUGAUUGUACCAUCAGAGUAAGCCCCGGCUAACUACGUG